GGUAGUGUGGCUCAGUAGUGAAGGACUUAGACUCUGGAUUUAACUUGCCUGGGUUCAAAUCUUGGCUCUGCCA
rnacentral:tRNA from 1 species